rnacentral:rRNA from 1 species
CCCUUCGGGGCAUUGGAGACAGGUGGUGCAUGGUUGUCGUCAGCUCGUGUCGUGAGAUGUUGGGUUAAGUCCCGCAACGAGCGCAACCCCUAUUUCCAGUAGCCAGCAAGAAAGAUGGGAACUCUGGAGAGACUGCCCGGGAUAACUGGGAGGAAGGCGGGGAUGACGUCAAAUCAUCAUGCCCCUUAUGAUCAGGGCUACACACGUGCUACAAUGGCGUAAACAAAGGGAAGCGAAGUGGUGACACGAAGCAAAUCCGAAAAACAACGUCUCAGUUCGGAUUGUAGUCUGCAACUCGACUACAUGAAGCUGGAAUCGCUAGUAAUCGCGAAUCAGAAUGUCGCGGUGAAUACGUUCCCGGGUCUUGUACACACCGCCCGUCACACCAUGGGAGUCGGAAAUGCCCGAAGUCAGUGACCCAACCGAGAGGAGGGAGCUGCCGAAGGUGGAGCCGGUAACUGGGGUGAAGUCGUAACAAGGUAGCCGUAUCGGAAGGUGCGGCUGGAUCA